rnacentral:rRNA from 1 species
GACGAACGCUGGCGGCGUGCUUAACACAUGCUAGUCGACCGAAGUUGCGAACGGUUGAGUAAUUCGUGAUUAACCUGCCUUCCUUUUUGGGAUCAGUCUUGGCAACGGGGUCUAAUCCCGGAUAAAGGGGUAUGGUCUCGCGGCCUAUCAGCUUGUUGGUGGGGUGAUGGCCUACCAAGGAGGUGACGGGUAGCCGGCCUGGGAGUGUGACCCGGCCCGUUGGGACUUAGAUUCGGGCCAGACGCCAACGGGAGGCAGCAGUGGGGGAGAUGGCACAAUGGGGGAUAGGCUGAAGCAGCGGCGCCGCGUGGGGGGAGAAGGCGUUCGGGUUGUAAACCUCGUACGCUAUAGAACGGGUAGGUAGAGAAGAAGCGCCGACUAACUACGUGCCAGCAGCCGCGGUAAUUC